CCUUCGAAUAAUAACCCUAUUAAACCAAACAAAAAAUAAAGUAUUAUUUCCCUUGCAAAAAUCACAUCCCAUAAAAAGCUAUCAAGUGUCCUAAUGAUAUCACAACAAUGUAGCUUAUGCUUUUACAAAACUUGUCAAGGUUUAGUAUCUUGUCUUUCAAGAAGUCUCCGGUUCUUUGCUGUCCUCCUCACUAGUUUCAUUUGCAGUAUCAGCUCCUUCUGAUGACCCUGCUUCUUCAGGCUUUGCAGGACCUGGACCAGCUGAUACUUUCACCAUUGAUGGUCGCAAGAGCUUAUCACCAAGCUUGAACCCCUUGCGAAAUUCCUCAAGUAUGAUACCUUCUUCAUAUUCUGUUGAAUCCUCUCGCAUAAUUGCUUCAUGCAGCAAUGGAUCAAAGGGGUUCCCUAUUGUCUCCACAGGGACAACACCAAGUGAACCGAGAAUUUCCACAAAUUGCUUGUAUAUGCUCUGAUAACUGUUACUGAUCUUCUCUUCUCCUUCAGUCUCAAAUUUAAUCUGGGAUUUGGCUCUCUCAAAAUUAUCCAAAACAAGCAACAAACUCUCCACAACUUCUCCUUGUGCAUUUGUUACCAAUGAAAGCCUUUCCCUCUCUGUCCUCUUUCGAAAAUUGUCGAAGUCUGCACUGAUCCUGAGGACCCGAUCUUUUUCUAUUGACAGUUCUUCAGUCAAACUAGCAACCUUCCUUUCAAGGUCAAUUUUCUCAUCUUCAACAGAUUUCAGAAAAGCUUCAACCUCAGCAAUUUUGGACUCAUCAUUACUUACCAAAGCUUCUUUGUAUGACUGGAGUGAAGCCAUGAUGAUUGAAGGAGGACUUUCCUUAGCAUCAGCAACUUCUUCACUGCUGGCACUAUCUUCCACCUGACUGGCACCAUCUGAAGAAUCCUGGAUUUCUGGUUCCUGAAUCGUCUCUUGGGUCUCAGCAGUUUCGGUUUCUCCUUGAGAAGAGAAAGGAGCGAACUUUACAAACCGGGGAGACGAUUUGGCGGCGAACUGGAGAAAACUUGAAGGGGGAAAUUUGGUGCUAAUGCUUCUAUGUCUAAAUGCGAGGCAAGAGGGUAUGGAGGAAUUUAAGGAAACAUUGUUGGUGACUAGUCGUGGUGGGAGGGGCGCCUUCAACGGCGGCGUUUUGAGGACAGUGGCCAUUGAAGCACGGAGAAGGAAUUGGAGAGAGGGAUAAGAGUGGGGAGCAGUGAUGCUCUAAAGAGUUGGGUUGAUGAAAUUUGAAGUGUGGUUUUAUGUGGACUGUAAGAUGGGAUUGG
rnacentral:misc_RNA from 1 species